UACGUAGGAUGCAAGCGUUAUCCGGAUUUACUGGGCGUAAAGAGCGUGUAGGCGGUUCCGUAAGUUGGGCGUGAAAGCCCCCGGCUUAACUGGGGAGAGUCGUUCAAUACUGUGGGACUUGAGGGUGGAUGAGGAGACCAGAAUUCCCGGUGUAGUGGUGAAAUGCGUAGAUAUCGGGAGGAAUACCCGUGGCGAAGGCGGGUCUCUAGGCCACUUCUGACGCUGAGACGCGAAAGCGUGGGGAGCGAACGGA
rnacentral:rRNA from 1 species